AUUUUAAGAAAGGAGUAAAGAGAGCUGAGAAAUCUAAUGCAAUUGACAAUUAUGUAAAUGGAACAGUUGGACAGGAUAUGGAGACGUCUGCAUGGGAGAGUAUGCUAGAGAAACCACCUGAACAGUUAACACAGUCUGAGCGUGAGCAGUGGUUAUCAAAACUGAAAGGUGUAGCACUGAGUUCUGAUGCAUUCUUUCCAUUCCGUGAUAAUAUUGACAG